rnacentral:rRNA from 1 species
AGAUUGAACGCUGGCGGCAUGCCUAACACAUGCAAGUCGAACGGGAGUAGCAAUACUCUAGUGGCGGACGGGUGAGGAAUACGUAGGAAUUUGCCCUUAAGUGGGGGAUAACCCGGGGAAACCCGGAUUAAUACCGCAUGACCUCGAAAGAGCAAAGUGGGGGAUCGCAAGACCUCACGCUUUUGGAGAAGCCUACGUCGGAUUAGCUAGUUGGUGAGGUAAUGGCUCACCAAGGCGACGAUCCGUAACUGGUCUGAGAGGAUGAUCAGUCACACCGGAACUGAGACACGGUCCGGACUCCUACGGGAGGCCAGCAGUGGGAAUAUUGGACAAUGGGCGCAAGGCCUGAUCCAGCAAGUCGCCGCGUAGUCGUAGAAGAAGGCCUUGGGUUACGUAAGCUACUUUAAGGUUGGGAAAGUAAAAGACUACGACUCUAACACACGUGAGUCUUAGGACGGUACCGACACGAAUUAACGC